UUGGCAGAAACAUUGUAGCAUUUCUCAUUUAUAAUUCAAAGGAUGUAGGCUACAGCAGAAUUGUUGGUUAUUUUCCAAAUCUCGGCACUAAACGAUCAAGAGGAAAGAGUUAUUGUCCACUUAAUCACGAUGGUAAAGAUCAAAAGACAGGGAAGAACCAGAGGAGAUGAAUCAAUGAGUUUGAUUCGAGUCAGCAUCUCCAGAGGACUCCAGCCGCAGAGAAGCAGAAACAGGCCAAAGCAACGACAAUAAGGAAACAUUAUGCAGCCCCGUGUCUCGAGUGUUGUUUCGGCCUCCUGCCCAAAACCUCCAGUUUUCAUCAUUCUUUGCUUUUCCAUUCAGCCAAUUGCCCCUCUAAACAGGUUGAGGCACUGAGCAGCGCGGGAGGACCAGAGGAAGAAUGAGACAGUAAAUGUUUUGAUUGGACUCUGUGCCCAGGGGAUGGGGCACAACCUGGCCCUCCACAGAUGGUGCCCACUGUUAGCCCUCAUCGCCCAUCUGCCCUGGGCAGCCUUGCCUUGCCAUGCUCUGCUAGUGGGCACAAGCUCUGCUCUGCCUCUCCCUCUUCCCCAGCCUCAGCACACCCAUACACUAGCAGACCCCUCGGUCAGGCAGGAGCGGGAGGCCACACGGGAACACAGGGCUCAUCUCUCCUCCUCUCCCCGCUCCUCUCCUCCCUCUCUCUACUUGGAUAAGAGCUUCAUUUGCUUCCAGUGACCCUCUUAAUUUGUGUGUUGGCUGUCAAACACUGAUAGCAGACAGACGCCUCAGGUCCCUAUCAGCCAGCCAGAAGAUUAGGCCCACGUUGCAUGGGGAUAAUGAUUUAUACAUGCAGUGGGGACAGUUUAAUAUGAGGCCAACACAUUCACAGUUGCAGAAUGGCUUCCUGUCUGUCCACAUUGAGACUGCAAUGUGUGGAAAUAGAAGUAUUUGAAUUUGGUUUUGUAAUCAGUCACAGAGCAAUAUGAGUCCGUAACAGUAGGUACAUAUACUGCAAACAGUGUCCGUAUCAUCAAAGACACAGAUAUAGAUCGCUGCAAUGUAAACUCUAAAAUGUAAUAUAAGGGCAAAGCUGACUCCAUUACAAUUAUAAAUACUCAGAAACUCACCCUGACCGAGUGUGAACCAAGGCCUUAGCAUUCUGCCAUAUUUCUGGAGGAUAUCAUGCAUCUUGUUGGCUAAACCCAGACUCUGUUCUGUAUUUACUUAGAGAAGUAUCCGGCCAAGCAAGGUCUCUGCAUUGGGAAGAAAAACUGUUGAAAUGUUAAAGUGCUCGUAACUAAAA